CAGUCGCGGUAAUACGUAGGUGGCGAGCGUUGUCCGGAAUUAUUGGGCGUAAAGGGAGCGCAGGCGGGCGAGUAAGUCUUUCUUAAAAGUGCGGGGCUCAACCCCGUGAGGGGAGAGAAACUACUCAUCUUGAGUGCAGGAGAGGAAAGCGGAAUUCCUAGUGUAGCGGUGAAAUGCGUAGAUAUUAGGAAGAACACCAGUGGCGAAGGCGGCUUUCUGGUCUGUAACUGACGCUGAGGAGCGAAAGCGUGGGGAGCGAACAGGAUUAGAUACCCCCGUAGUCCCUGUCUCUUAUACACAC
rnacentral:rRNA from 1 species